rnacentral:lncRNA from 1 species
GACCUGAUAGUGGGACCUACUACGAACUGUUGCUAUCGAUAGACUUUAUACACUCUGCAGAGGUAGCACACUGUACCCACACCACAGAACCCAUGGCCUCGUCAUCCCAUUAGGGUGGACCAACGGCAUUCCGACGAAACCAACCUACUGCCAUGACGCUCUCCCGGCCACUCCGACCCAAUCCCCAACGGGCUGGUCCUGGGUGGCCCUGUGUCUACCAAAGACACCCCGACCACCGUCGUGGUCAACUCCCACUCGGGGACACUCCCACUCGGGGACUGGUACCAAAAAUCUCAAAAACGAGCACACAAGGUUAUGUCCGCUUACCUGAUCAGGGUAAGCACGCCCAUAACCUUCCCUAGUGGGAGGCACCGGUGAGAGGUCACGACAAUGGCUCGCAUUAAGGCCUCCCAUAAGGCAAAUGUGGCUGCACUGAAAAAGUUCGGUUUGGCGGCACUAUGACUCGAUCCCAUCGAUGACGGAGGAGGUUUGUUAUUAUUAAGUCAUUUUAUUUCCUUCUCCAUCAUCAUGAACAUAUUUAACAUGAGUGCAACAUGCCGCAUACAAAUGCACGAACAAAAUAUUGAACUCCUCAAGUGCACAACUAUAACAUAAAGGACACGACAAUAGUAUAUCAACGGUGCAUUACAAUCCUCAUAACAGUUUAUAAUGAUGACAUGCAAAUAAAGUAGAGUAGUGGCAUGGCAUUAUUAAUAAUAACAUUCUAAUUAACAUGGCAAAGUUAUCAUGAAACAAAAGCAUGCAAGAUAGGCAUAAAGAAAUAACUGCCGAUGAAAACGAUAUAAAACAACUGCAACUACACACACACUCAAGGUGCAAGAAAAGUCAACAUGCAAGUUCGAGGCUCAUGAUAAGAGGUUGGCUUGCCUGGGGGUCGACAAAUACUCCGGGAAGAAGUGCGAAAUGAUCGCGAAAAGAUUUGCCGGAAACAGUUCCUUCUCGGAGGGGGCUGUGUACGGGCAAGGGCAAAAAGGUCAUUUUCAUUGUGUGAAAAUAUUAUGAAAAUGACAUCAACGGAACGGGCUCGACGAAACGAAGACGUGGGCUUUGGAUUCACCUCAUUUGGAGUUGUGGGUAAAAAGAUAUGACAGUUUAACUAUGAGGGACCAAUCUGUAAAGAAAAUCAUUACAAACGGGGACCUAGCAGAAAAACAGACCGCGUCUUUCUCAGAAAUACGCUUUCCAGAAAGGAAAGCGCAUUCUAACCCGAAGAAGAGGAAGAAUACGCUUUCGGUGAUUGAAAGCGCAUUAUCCAGCAAUACGCUUUCGCGUGGGGAAAACGACUUCGCGCCUGGGGCGCGUCCACUUAUCCAACGUGGCGCUCCUCGUCUCGCCGACAGGUGGGGCCCAGAGGUAGGGUCAACGCGGGCGGGGCCCGCCUGGCCUUCUUCUUCCUCACGCUCGGGGUUGAGCGAGGCAGCGGGAGGGGAUCGCCCCGACGGCGAUCGCCGGCGCGUCCGGCCACCUCUCGCGACGGCCGACCUACCCACGAGCUCAGGAGAACGAGGCGCAUCUCCUGGUGGGCUCGGUUGCCGGCGAGGAGCGCGGGAGAAGAAGCAGCAGGGCACGCGGCGGAGAGGGGCUUCGGGCUCUGGUGGGCAUGGGGUUCUAGUGGGGGAAGCGGAGGGACGACGAGCCAGGAAGGAUCGACGGGGAGUCGCGCGUCCAUCCAUGGGCUCAGACUGGGCAGGGGACGGCCGGAGAGAGAGAAUGGCCGAGGGGGAUCGGCGGCGGCCAUUCGGCCAUGGAGGGGGAUGUGGAGCUCCGAGGCAAGUGGGAAGGCUUUGAGAGGCGUUGUGGCUACGGAAGAGCUCGAGGGCUCUACUUAUAGCCGCGGGAGAGCUCGGGAAGGGGGGCGAGGUGGCACGUGGCGUGCGACGUGUCCAUGCGCCGGUGAGGGCACAGGCGCGGCCAAGGCUCACGGGGAGGCAUGGGAAGGCGACGAGGGGGAUCAAGACGAACGCCCGAGGGUCACGGAGACGAGGAAGGCGUGCGGACGAACGGAGGAAGAAGACAUCGGCGAGGAAGACGACGAUGCACAGGAGCGCACUAUUCCGGUCGUUGGGACGGCUCUCCGGAGAAGAAAACGAAGGGGGCAGCGGUCCAGAGGGAAGACGACGACGAGGGGGGCUACUGGACAUUAAUGGCGAGGCCAGAGGCGGUCGGGGCAGCGAUGCCGACGACCACAGUGGCUAGACCACCGUUUUGGCUGGUUACACGCGUGGUCACCACUGGCAUGGCACGCUCUGGGGUUUUAACUGAUGUAAAUUCAUGUCUACCGCGUAGUCCUUCCAGCGGGGAGUGUUACCAUGGUGAAAGAUCGGGCAGAGACAAAUGGAGAUGAGUGAAACAAGCUCCACAAGUUUGCUGUUACAAACUUGGCAACAUCCUAGAGAUUAAACCAGAGAGGGUAAAUGGUAAACUUUAUGUCCGGGAGGCUUGGGGUAGAAAGGACUACGGUCCUGGGAGUUUUGAGGUAAAAUGGACAACUAUUUACCAUAGUUGCUGUACAACCACCAAAACUGACCCAGAAACUUAAUCAUGGUGAAACACUCACUAGGAGUGAUGGAUUGGGCUAUAACUUGCCAAAGCCUGAUGAUGUGAACAUACCAUGAUGCUGUAAAAAGUUCAUACCAAAUGGACUCACCAAAAUGGUACUUCCUUCACAGCUAUCAUUUCUGUCCAAAAACUUCAGAAAAAUCCUCAGGGCAAUUGGUCAAGUGAAAUGAGCCACAAUCUUGUGGAGAUAGGUUAUAUGAGUAGGAGAAGGCCUGGAAAAAUUAUCAGCCAUAAUGGAGCAAGAUAAAAUACACUUGCUUCACAAACUGAAAAUUUGGACAGAAAACAAGAAUUGCUCCUGUGCUCACAUAGUUCAAUGAAAUGAACUGAAUUUGGGUGGAGGAUAAUGAUUUGAGAUACUUGAGAGGAUGGAAAAGUUUCAUCCCAUUUCGAAACACUAUGAAGGUACUUCCUUAACAAACUUGUGUUCUGGUCAGAAACUUUGAAAAAUUGCACAGGGAGCUAGGGUGAAUGGAUUGAGCUCAUCUUUCGUAUCCAUGGGUUAUUUAACAAUUUUAAACACCCUGCCAAAUUUCAGCUCAAUUGGACUUAGCAAUAAAGCACUUCCUUUGCAAAAUUUUAGAGAAGGCAGAAACUUGCAUUGGAUCAUGUGCCAAAUUUCGAACUGUGGAAUCAUGAUAUUAGGAUGGAACUAGUGAUUAUAUAGCAAGGACAAGCUCCACAAUUUAUGUGGGAAUUUUCUCUGCUAUAAAAAUAGUAGUUCCUUUGUAAGUUGGCAGAAAUGCAAUAUUGGCAUUAAAUAGGAAAAAGCAAUUUUCCUUAUUUAAUUAUGGCCAAUAUACUUGCCAGAGCUUGGAUUAGGCAUAAGAAUCAACUCCACCAAUUCUCAUGAAUUUAGGAGAAUGCUAGAUAUGCCUUUGGAUUUUAUUCCUCAGAAAGGCAAGAAAAGGAAUGAAUCAUAAUUCAAAAAUAUUGCAUUGGACUUAGCAAUAUUUUUGCAUAUCCAAGGUUAAGAAAGAUAGGAUGAUCUCUGGGAUCAAUUGGGAGGAUCAACAGAACAAGGAAAAUGGUGGCUCCUUUGUAAUCACAAGGGCAUAUCCAAAUUCCAAAAAUUUGGAAUUAGGGUUUAAGAGGAAUUGAGCUGAUGCAAAUGAGGUCUUGCCCACUAAAAAAGACAUGAGCAGGAUUUUGAAAGGUUGGAAAUGACAACAUUUUCUCAGGGUCAUCCAGCAAACUCAGGAGAAAAUUUUGAAAAUGAGUGCCAGGAGAGAAUAACAGCACAAAAGUUGAUAACCCAAUUUUGGGGCUGUUACAACUCUUCCCCCCUUAAAAAGAAAUCUCGUCCUCGAGAUUCCUAGGGUUACAGCACAAACGAAAGAAUAACAAUUCCGGAGAAAAACCUCGGGGUUAAUUUUUAACCCUUUGGUUAAAUUCAAACGAGUUGGGGGCACCGAGAAAAAAAUUCGCGGAUUCCUCCACGAAACGUAGGUGUCGAGGUAGAAUCAAGGGUGAAACCUGUAUCGGGGUAGAUGUACUGGAUCGAGUGAAAUAAAAUUGGCAGUGUUUCUCCGGAAAUGAAAUCAGGAAAAAGAAUUAGAGACGAGGAAUUUCCAAGCGGAAAUGCCUCUGCGGGGUUUCUAGAGUUGGAAAUCCGGCACACGGUGUAUGCACAGAUAGAUAGGGAUAUGUGACUUUGCAUUUCCCCGAGUACUGCCCGAAUGUACUCGUGGGUGAACCGGGUAUGCGUGCAGUAUGCAGAAAAAUCUAAACUAGCAAACAGACAGAGGCAAUAAACAUGCAACGGAAAACACACCAGGCAAAAUCAUUCUAUGGUGUUUUAAUGCUAGUGGGUAUAUGUACUCCUGGUAUACAUAUACCUACACCAGCGCGCAUUUUAUUAUAGACUCGAGACGAGUCAGGGUUAAUUUAGUGUAUGUGAUCUACUAAUUAAAAUCUUGUUAGCAACACAAUGUCAACCCUGUCAAACAUUUCUGCUUGACAGAGAGACAAGCAAAAAACAACACAAAAACAAAAGAACAAAAACAUACAUAGAACACAGCAUACGGACUACAACAGUACCAGCAGACAACAGAACACGAACGAGCUACGCGCUAAACGAAGCAACUCAUCUAGGGAUACAUAGUUCUACCCUCAUAUCGAGGAUGAACCGACAGACUGAUCAUCUUACUACUUGACUGAGGUCAUGCAGAGGAUUUGCCUUGCUGGGGCUCUCCGGGAGGACGAAGACUGAGCCAAUCUCCAUCUUCAUCAUCUCACACUACUAUGGGUUGGGGUUCGGCUACUGGGGGUGUGGCUGAAAUUGAUCCGAGCAAAUGCUGCUGGUGGAUCUGUAAAAGAGCCUUGUCGAGGGUGACGAUGUUGGGUCUAGGCCACAACACGGAUUGAGAGGACAGCACUGGUUCGGAUGGCGUUGGACAAAUGACUUGAGAUGCGAAUUUACGAGCCUCACGGUAAGCUUCCUUGACGACUCGCACCGCAUCAUUGUCCAGAGUUCGAAACUCGGCAAGCAUCUGGGAAAUCAUCAUCCCCUGGGCGGUAAUAUAUUGCACCAGGCGAGCGAUUGCGGGGUCAUCUCCUUGGCUAGCGGGAGAAGGCUGCAUUCCUACCUCUGUCACAAUGGGGUAGAAGCAGAAAUCACGCCUUGCUGCCAUAUGCGGGUAUCUGGUUCGGAGGUGAAGCAUAGCCUCCACAGCAGCGGCCUGAAUGGCUAAAUCAGAGGUAGGCAUAGCUCUACCCUGAAAAACCAACGGCUGGCCAUCCGCUGCUAGGCUGAUGCACACUCUUGCAUCGAAGCGAUGAAGGUGAGGGACGGGUGAUGAUUGGAACACCAGGUAAUCGGGGCUAGCCUUACAGCCAAAGGCUUUGGUGAGCAUCUCAGCAAGAAGGGGUGGAAAGCCGGGGUGGUUGACGGCACCGGUGCGGCUGUGAAACUUGGGAGCUUUGAAGGUGCUAGUCAUGGCUGGAGUGCUACUAGCUAGGCUUCUCUGUAGGGACAUGGUUGACUGAGGGGUGAGCGAUACGGCGAGCGGAAAGGGGGCUUUUAUAGGCAGCUAUGCGAGACAUGCCCGCAUGGUGUGGCCCCUUUCCCUUAAUGGCGAAGGGUGAGCGGUGUGGCCGACCCGAAAGGAUAUGGUUGCUAUUCGCGCCACGACUAACUAGGCGGGGACAGCGGGGUGAGGACGUGUCGGUCCCGACUGCGCCACCUGUUGAUUAACAGUGGCCAUGUCGUAUGCAGGGAUGGGUCAAAUCCCUUAGGGCCAUUACCGGUUAAUGGUAGCGGUGAUCUAAUACUAGGAUAACCUAUGCCAGCCUGGCUGCUCUGAUACCAUGCCCUAUGGCACCCCGAUCUGCAUGGAGCAGGGGGCCUUCGCACGUCAGCCCAGGAUAACACCUGACGCACGACAGGUCCAUAAUACAGCAUUCCAGGUACAAAAAUAUUCAUCAAAUACAUGUAUAUGAGAUUACAUCAUUGAUGAAUACAAUUAUCUGGCAUAGCCCUAAGGCUAUUAAAUGAUAGCGAAAGUCUGAUAAAAAUGGCGGCGGAAGUCUUGGUUUGGCAGCAUAACAACUCUGGCCGGGCUCCACAACUCACAGGACUUGCAAGAUUACGGCCUAGCACGACGGAUCAAGCGAGCAAUACGGGUACGACCUACAAAACUGGCAUGACACGCCAGGUCAGUACAUUGAAUGUACUUGCAAGACAACCAAAUACAUAGCAUCCAAACAAGCUGCAGACAAAGCAAGAACCGAGCGCAUGCAACACCCUAUCUCAUAUCAAUUACUAAACAUGGCAUGAUAAAAAUCAACUAAGCAUGAAAAAAAUCAUAACAUCUACUAACAUGGCAAUGACAUGGCACAUCAGAACAUGAUUAUAACAUUGUAAUAGCAAAACAUAGAAUUUUAUCUCAAUCAUGGCAUAACUUAACAUGUCAAUCAAAGCAUAGCAUGGCAUCAAGAAACUAUGCUGAAAAUAAACUACCAAUAAUAUCCAAUGCAGACAUAGAAUGUUAACAUUAUGCCAUCAUCUUCUGUUCUAUCAUGGUUCUUUAAAUGCAAAUAAUGAUAUAUUAUUCUAGCAAUGCAACCAAACUUGUGUACCGAGUCCCUCGGACUCUCUUAUCAAUUGUGAUCAUCUCUGGAUCACAAACACACCACCAAAGUGGUCUUUCUCAAGAACAACUCGGGAUCCUUACGGCGAUCACAACCAUGAUCAACACUUGGUCUCCAACCGUGAUCCUUACGGCGAUCACAACCACGACCAAUAUUUGGCUCGUGAUCCUUACGGCGAUCACAAACACUUAUCUCAUCAUCAAAAUAUCUUCGUGACUCCUCACGACUAUCUCAUAGUUCAAGUUACCAUAUUCUUGUUAUCACAUAUUUAUUUACCAACUUAAUUAUUUCGGUUUGUCCUCCAUUUCGACCAAGACCUGAUAGUGGGACCUACUACGAACUGUUGCUAUCGAUAGACUUUAUACACUCUGCAGAGGUAGCACACUGUACCCACACCACAGAACCCAUGGCCUCGUCAUCCCAUUCGGGUGGACCAACGGCAUUCCGACGAAACCAACCUACUGCCAUGACGCUCUCUCGGCCACUCCGACCCAAUCCCCAACGGGCUGGUCCUGGGUGGCCCUGUGUCUACCAAAGACACCCCGACCACCGUCGUGGUCAACUCCCACUCGGGGACACUCCCACUCGGGGACUGGUACCAAAAAUCUCAAAAACGAGCACACAAGGUU